rnacentral:tRNA from 1 species
GCAGGGGUAGCAAAGCCUGGUCAAAUGCGAUGGACUCAAGAUCCAUUCCCUCAGGGGUUCGAGAGUUCGAAUCUCUCCCCCUGCA